rnacentral:rRNA from 1 species
UACAGAGGUCUCAAGCGUUGUUCGGAUUCAUUGGGCGUAAAGGGUGCGUAGGUGGCGCCGGUAAGUCGGGUGUGAAAUUUCGGAGCUUAACUUCGAAACUGCAUUCGAUACUGCCGUGCUUGAGGACUGGAGAGGAGACUGGAAUUUACGGUGUAGCAGUGAAAUGCGUAGAGAUCAUGAGGAAGACCAGUGGCGAAGGCGGGUCUCUGGACAGUUCCUGACACUGAGACACGAAGGCCAGGGGAGCAAAUGGG